rnacentral:rRNA from 1 species
UACGUAGGGUGCGAGCGUUGUCCGGAAUUACUGGGCGUAAAGAGCUCGUAGGUGGUUUGUCGCGUUGUUCGUGAAAACUCACAACUCAAUUGUGGGCGUGCGGGCGAUACGGGCAGACUGGAGUACUGCAGGGGAGACUGGAAUUCCUGGUGUAGCGGUGAAAUGCGCAGAUAUCAGGAGGAACACCGAUGGCGAAGGCAGGUCUCUGGGCAGUAACUGACGCUGAGGAGCGAAAGCGUGGGGAGCGAACAGG